CCUUACACCAAAAAAAACAGUCACCCCUCUAAUGUCUAUGUGACCUACACCUCACAAGGCACUCACACCUUGCCCUUUGUCCAUACAGCAGCCUCACUAGCCAGCCUGAGGCAGCGAGGCUCAGAGAGUUCCUCACUGGCCUUGCCCAGCAUCACACUGAUGAUAAGUCCAGAUCCUGAACUUAGACCUGGGGCUUCUGAGUCCAACCCAACCCUCUUUCUUUUGCACACACAGCCUCCAGCUGCAUCGAAGCCAUGGGCACAGUGCACCAUGUCUGAUCGGCUUGUUUGUUUGUUUUUACAAGUUGCUUUUCCAGGGGAUGAAGAGGGCACAGGAGGCAGAGCCAUUUGUCUGUUGACUCUCUUAAGCACUUUUCACACAGUGAGUUUUUAGCUAGACUCCUGACUUAAACUUGUUUUACCGUGCAUUUCUUCCAAGUGGAACACAGCUCAAUGAUUGCGCUUGAUUGAGGGCUUCAGUCAGAGCAGCUCAGACAAAUGUGAUUAAUAAACCACAGUGGCCAUUACGUUGAGUUCUUACUAUGCAUCAUGUUGAGUUCUUACUAUGCAGUUACUAUGCAUUGACUAUGUAAGUCAAGAGCACUUGACUAUACUAACUCAUUUAAAACUCACCACGUGCUAUGAGAUACACGCUGUUAUCAUCC